UACAGAGGUCUCAAGCGUUGUUCGGAUUCAUUGGGCGUAAAGGGUGCGUAGGCGGCGCGGUAAGUCGGGUGUGAAAUCUUGGAGCUUAACUCCGAAACUGCAUUCGAUACUGCCGUGCUUGAGGACUGGAGAGGAGACUGGAAUUUACGGUGUAGCGGUGAAAUGCGUAGAUAUCGUAAGGAAGACCAGUGGCGAAGGCAGCUCGCUGGGACGUUACUGACGCUGAGACGCGAAAGCGUGGGGAGCAAACAGG
rnacentral:rRNA from 1 species